AAGGGAGACCUAAUUCGGGUAUAAGACGAAAAAAUAGUAGUCGAAACCAAGAAUCAAUCCCAAAAGGUCGGAACGAGGUAUGUGGCUUUCAAACUAGGUUCUGGGUUCACAAAAGACCUGAAUCAGGAACAAGGGCUAUUAGCUCAGGUGGUUAGAGCGCACCCCUGAUAAGGGUGAGGUCCCUGGUUCGAGUCCAGGAUGGCCCACCUGCACAGGUGGCAAAAACAAAGAAAAAAAGCGAGGAAUCAGCACCUGAUCUUACUUGUACAGUAAGAGAGAAUGCUGGCUCUGAGUAAAGAGUCCAGAGGAACCUUGAAAACUGCAUAGAGCUAGGUGAAAAAGCCAAAAAAGAAGACCGCAA
rnacentral:tRNA from 1 species